rnacentral:rRNA from 1 species
AUACGGAGGGUGCAAGCGUUGUUCGGAAUCACUGGGCGUAAAGGGUGCGUAGGCGGUUUGAUAAGUCUGAUGUGAAAUCCUAUGGCUCAACCGUAGAACUGCAUUGGAAACUGUCAGACUAGAAUACUGAAGGGGCAGAUGGAAUUAGAGGUGUAGGGGUAAAAUCCGUAGAUAUCACUAGGAAUACCGAAAGCGAAAGCGAUCUGCUGGGAAGUUAUUGACGCUGAGGCACGAAAGCGUGGGGAGCAAACGGGAUUAGAAACCCUUGUAGUCC